UACGGGGGGGGCAAGCGUUGUUCGGAAUUACUGGGCGUAAAGGGCUCGUAGGCGGCCAACUAAGUCAGACGUGAAAUCCCUCGGCUUAACCGGGAAACUGCAUCUGAUACUGGAUGGCUUGAGUUCGGGAGAGGGAUGCGGAAUUCCAGGUGUAGCGGUGAAAUGCGUAGAUAUCUGGAGGAACACCGGUGGCGAAGGCGGCAUCCUGGACCGGCACUGACGCUGAGGAGCGAAAGCCAGGGGAGCAAACGGG
rnacentral:rRNA from 1 species